rnacentral:lncRNA from 1 species
CCUGAACCUCCCAGCAUUAAUGAUUGAGGCUAUGAGAGAAAUCCUGAAUAGAUCCAAGGCACAUCUGCCUUUCGGUAUGGCCCUCACUUUAGUAUUCAGGAGGUUUGGAGUUAGCUUUGAGGGGGAGGCAGUAGCUAGGCUUUCUCACUCUGACACCAUCAACCGCCAUACUUUGCACCGCAUGGGAUUUACUAAGACUGAUGGUGGUUGGACUAAAGGUGUAGAAGAGAGAGCUGAGGACAGAGCUGAGGAGGAAGGUCCUUCAUCACCUCUCCAUGAUCACAGGACUGUAUCUCCGGACAUUCAGUUUGUUUCUGACCAUGAGGCUAGGCCAUCAGAGUCUACG